UACGGAGGAGGCAAGCGUUAUCCGGAAUUAUUGGGCGUAAAGCGUCCGCAGGUGGCACUUCAAGUCUGUCGUCAAAGACUGGGGCUUAACCCUGGAAAGGCGGUGGAAACUGAAGUGCUAGAGUGCAGUAGGGGUAGAGGGAAUUCCCGGUGUAGCGGUGAAAUGCGUAGAGAUCGGGAAGAACAUCGGUGGCGAAAGCAGCUUUCUGGGACGGUACUGACGCUGAGAAGCGAAAGCAUGGGGAGCGAACAGG
rnacentral:rRNA from 1 species